GAGGAUUUAAAUGGCCGCAGUAUUUUGACUGUGCAAAGGUAGCAUAAUUAUUAGUUUUUUAAUUGAAAGCUCGUAUGAAUGGUUGGACGAAAUAAAUUCUGUCUUUAUUUAAAUUAAAAUAAAAUUUAACUUUUGAGUCAAAAGGCUUAAAUAAUUAUAAAAGACGAGAAGACCCUAUAGAUCUUUAUUUAGUUAAGAUUUUGAUAAUUUAAGAUUAUUUUAAUAUAAAAUUUUAACUUAAUUUUGUUGGGGUAAUGUAAAGAUUUAAUAAAUUCUUUUUAUUAAUAACAUUAAUUUAUGUAUAUAUGAUCCAGUAAUAUUGAUUAUAAGAUUAAGUUACCUUAGGGAUAACAGCGUAAUUUUUUUUGGAGAGCUCAUAUCGAUAAGAAAGUUUGCGACCUCGAUGUUGGAUUAAAAAUUAGCUUGGGUGCAGAAGCUCAAGAUUUUGGUCUGUUCGACCAUUAAAUUUUUACAUGAUCUGAGUUCAGACCGGCGUAAGCCAGGUCGGUUUCUAUCUUUAUUAAAAUAAAAUAUUUUAGUACGAAAGGACCAAGUAUUUAAUAUAAUUAUAUUUAAUUUUUGAAUAAUAUUAUUACUUUGGCAGAUUAGUGCAAUGAAUUUAGAAUUCAUGAAUGUAAUUAUAUUACAAGUAAUACUUGUAUUUAGGAGAUUUAAUUUUAAUAAUUUUAUGUAUAUUAAUUUUAGUAAUUUGUGUAUUAGUGGGGGUUGCUUUUUUAACUUUAUUAGAGCG
rnacentral:rRNA from 1 species